UCAAGAACUCUAAUCUUUAAAUUUCAAGAACGAAAUUACGCUGAAUAAAUCAUGAUUGGUGUGUGGGUGAAAGAACCCAACACUAUGGAAGCUUACAUACCUUAAUGGAUUGAAUCCUCGGCGAAAUUCGCAAGCAAUUCCUUACGACGACGAAGAAUCUAGCUUUUUCCUCCUUUUCUCUUUUCUUGCGUUCCUCCUCCAAAA
rnacentral:lncRNA from 1 species